UCAUCUAAAAAUUCAUAUUAAUGAAGAAUUCAACACUUUUUCACCAACGUUUUUUACUCGCUUCGAAUUAACAUUUGAAGUGAACAUUCGAAACACUCGGGAUUUUUUAUAUUAAAUACACUAAGCGUUAUCUCCCGUAUUUCCUUUGAUGAACAGAAUAUCUGACAUAUUUUCAGGGAGUUUGUGAUAGAACAGAUUGCAAGUUAUUUUAAUUAUUGGUUGUUUGAAUAAAUUUAUUAUUGCUGCCGUAUGUUUCCGUAUUAUACAGUUAUAUUCAAGUUAUUUAUUUGGUAAAGUCACUUAUGGGUUUCCAUACAUAUAAAGUAGAGAGAUUGUUGUUCAUGGUCUAGUAAUUCUUAACUUUGGUUGGUUUGUUUUAAGGUUAAAGGUUGAAUUCUUUGAAGGUAGAGUAAUUUUGGGGUGUUUGAUUUAAUUUCUCCAGUGACUACUGUUGAGAGCGGUCUGAUAUAUUAAUAUUAUUAUAUUCAAGACAGACUUGGGACUAAGACCUAAAAGUCAUUCCAUAAGCAAGUAAUUAAUACAGCGAUGUCAAUGCAUAAGUUCUGAUACCAUAUAUCUGGUAAGAUCUAUGUUUUGUGUGACUAACAUAUAAAUGUAUGUGGUGUCCAAAUUGUCUAAACUUUGUCUAUACUAAUUUUGACCUUUAUAUCUAAAAGUCAUAAUUAUGCAUAUAUGUGAUAAAUUUACAUAUUGAUUAUUCUUAAUAAUAAUGGUGAAAUAUGAACAAUUGAUUUGAUUUUAAUUUGAUCUAUUUUCCAUUUCAUUAAAGUAGUAAAUGUGAUUGAAUUAUGAAAUGGAGCUAUUGUACUUGAUAUAUGUGUUUGUGUUGUCUUGUGAUGUGUAUGUUUAUGUAUGUUUGUGUAUGUUUCAGAACUAUAUCUCAUUCGAUCAUCACAAUAAAACCUGUUACGAUACA